rnacentral:rRNA from 1 species
GACGAACGCUGGCGGCGUGCUUAACACAUGCAAGUCGAACGGAAAGGCCCUGCUUUUGUGGGGUGCUCGAGUGGCGAACGGGUGAGUAACACGUGAGUAGCCUGCCCUUGACUUUGGGAUAACUUCAGGAAACUGGGGCUAAUACCGGAUAGGAGCUCCUGCUGCAUGGUGGGGGUUGGAAAGUUUCGGCGGUUGGGGAUGGACUCGCGGCUUAUCAGCUUGUUGGUGGGGUAGUGGCUUACCAAGGCUUUGACGGGUAGCCGGCCUGAGAGGGUGACCGGCCACAGUGGGACUGAGAUACGGCCCAGACUCCUACGGGAGGCAGCAGUGGGGAAUAUUGCACAAUGGGCGGAAGCCUGAUGCAGCAACGCCGCGUGCGGGAUGACGGCCUUCGGGUUGUAAACCGCUUUCGCCUGUGACGAAGCGUGAGUGACGGUAAUGGGUAAAGAAGCACCGGCUAACUACGUG